rnacentral:tRNA from 1 species
GGGCCUAUGACUCAGCGGUAGAGCAUCUGAUUGGCAAGCAGAAGUCCCUGGGUUCAAUUCCUGGCAUCUCCA